rnacentral:rRNA from 1 species
GAUGAACGCUGGCGGCGUGCCUAAUACAUGCAAGUCGAGCGAACGGACGAUAAGCUUGCUUUUCUGAUGUUAGCGGCGGACGGGUGAGUAACACGUGUAUAACCUACCUAUAAGACUGGGAUAACUUCGGGAAACCGGCUCUAAUACCGUAUAAUAUUUUGAACCGCAUGGUUGAAAAGAGAGAGACGGUCUUGCUGUCACUUAUAGAUGGAUCCGCGCUGCAUUAGCUAGUUGGUAAGGUAACGGCUUACCAAGGCAACGAUGCAUAGCCGACCUGAGAGGGUGAUCGGCCACCCUGGAACUGGAACACGGUCCAGACUCCUACGAGAGGCAGCAGUAGGGAAUCUUACGCAAUGGGCGAAAGCCUGACGCAGCAACGCCGCGUGAGUGAUGAAGGUCUUCGGAUCGUAAAACUCUGUUAUGAGGGAAGAACAUAUGUGUAAGUAAAUGUGCACAUCUUGACGGUACCUAAUCAGAAAGCCACGGCUAACUACGUG